rnacentral:rRNA from 1 species
UACGUAGGGUGCAAGCGUUAAUCGGAAUUACUGGGCGUAAAGCGUGCGCAGGCGGUUUGGUAAGACAGAUGGGAAAUCCCCGGGCUUAACCUGGGAAUUGCAUUUGUGACUGCCCGGCUAGAGUGUGUCAGAGGGGGGUAGAAUUCCACGUGUAGCAGUGAAAUGCGUAGAUAUGUGGAGGAAUACCGAUGGCGAAGGCAGCCCCCUGGGAUAACACUGACGCUCAUGCACGAAAGCGUGGGGAGCAAACAGG